UACGAAGGGGGCUAGCGUUGCUCGGAAUCACUGGGCGUAAAGGGUGCGUAGGCGGGGCUUUAAGUCAGGGGUGAAAUCCUGGAGCUCAACUCCAGAACUGCCUUUGAUACUGAAGAUCUUGAGUGCGGGAGAGGUGAGUGGAACUGCGAGUGUAGAGGUGAAAUUCGUAGAUAUUCGCAAGAACACCAGUGGCGAAGGCGGCUCACUGGCCCGAUACUGACGCUGAGGCGCGAAAGCGUGGGGAGCAAACAGG
rnacentral:rRNA from 1 species